GAAUAUUGGACAAUGGGCGAAAGCCUGAUCCAGCCAUGCCGCGUGUGUGAAGAAGGGCUUCGGAUUGUAAAGCACUUUAAGUAGGGAGGAAGGGCAGUAAGCGAAUACCUUGCUGUUUUGACGUUACCGACAGAAUAAGCCACGGCUGACUCUGUGCCAUCAGCCGCGGUAAUCCAGAGGGAGCAAGCGUUAAUCGGAAUUACUGGGCGUAAAGCGCGCGUAUGUGGUUCGUUAAGUUGGAUGUGAAAUCCCCGGGCUCAACCUGGGAACUGCAUCCAAAACUGGCGAGCUAGAGUAGGGCAGAGGGUGGUUGAAUUUCCUGUGUAGCGGUGAAAUGCGUAGAUAUAGGAAGGAACACCAGUGGCGAAGGCGACCACCUGGGCUCAUACUGACACUGAGGUGCGAAAGCGUGGGGAGCAAACA
rnacentral:rRNA from 1 species